rnacentral:rRNA from 1 species
UGCCAGCAGCCGCGGUAAUACAUAGGGGUCAAGCGUUGUCCGGAUUUAUUGGGCGUAAAGAGCGUGUAGGCUGUUAAGUAAGUCAGAGGUGAAAUCCCUAAGCUCAACUUAGGAACUGCCUUUGAUACUAUUUUACUAGAGAACGAGAGAAGUUGGCGGAAUUCCAAGUGUAGAGGUGAAAUUCGUAGAUAUUUGGAAGAACACCAGUGGCGAAAGCGGCCAACUGGCUCGUUUCUGACGCUGAGACGCGAAAGCGUGGGUAGCAAACAGGAUUAGAUA